UACGUAGGGGUGCAAGCGUUUGUCCGGAAUUAUUGGGCGUAAAGAGCUCGUAGGCGGUUUGUCGCGUCGGCUGUGAAAACCCGAGGCUCAACCUCGGGCCUGCAGUGGGUACGGGCAGACUAGAGUGCGGUAGGGGAGAUUGGAAUUCCUGGUGUAGCGGUGGAAUGCGCAGAUAUCAGGAGGAACACCAAUGGCGAAGGCAGAUCUCUGGGCCGUAACUGACGCUGAGGAGCGAAAGCAUGGGGGAGCGAACAGG
rnacentral:rRNA from 1 species